rnacentral:rRNA from 1 species
ACACAUGCAAGUCGAGGGGAAACGAUAUUGGAAGCUUGCUUCCGAUAGGCGUCGACCGGCGCACGGGUGAGUAACGCGUAUCCAACCUGCCCACCACUUGGGGAUAACCUUGCGAAAGUAAGACUAAUACCCAAUGACGUCUCUAGAAGACAUCUGAAAGAGAUUAAAGAUUUAUCGGUGAUGGAUGGGGAUGCGUCUGAUUAGCUUGUUGGCGGGGUAACGGCCCACCAAGGCUACGAUCAGUAGGGGUUCUGAGAGGAAGGUCCCCCACAUUGGAACUGAGACACGGUCCAAACUCCUACGGGAGGCAGCAGUGAGGAAUAUUGGUCAAUGGACGAGAGUCUGAACCAGCCAAGUAGCGUGCAGGAUGACGGCCCUAUGGGUUGUAAACUGCUUUUAUAAGGGAAUAAAGUGAGUCUCGUGAGACUUUUUGCAUGUACCUUAUGAAUAAGGACCGGCUAAUUCCGUGCCAGCAGCCGCGGUAAUACGGAAGGUCCGGGCGUUAUCCGGAUUUAUUGGGUUUAAAGGGAGCGUAGGCCGGAGAUUAAGCGUGUUGUGAAAUGUAGACGCUCAACGUCUGCACUGCAGCGCGAACUGGUUUCCUUGAGUACGCACAAAGUGGGCGGAAUUCGUGGUGUAGCGGUGAAAUGCUUAGAUAUCACGAAGAACUCCGAUUGCGAAGGCAGCUCACUGGAGCGCAACUGACGCUGAAGCUCGAAAGUGCGGGUAUCGAACAGGAUUAGAUACCCUGGUAGUCCGCACGGUAAACGAUGGAUGCCCGCUGUUGGUCUGAAUAGGUCAGCGGCCAAGCGAAAGCAUUAAGCAUCCCACCUGGGGAGUACGCCGGCA